rnacentral:rRNA from 1 species
UUAAGGUCUAAUCUGCUCAAUGAAUUUUUAAUUGCUGCAGUAUUUUAACUGUACAAAGGUAGCAUAAUAAUUAGUUUUUUUAUUGAAAUCUGGAAUGAAUGAUUGGACGAGAAAAUUUCUGUCUCUUAAUAAUUUUUUUUUGAAUUUAACUUUUGAGUAAAAAGGCUCAAAUUUGUUUAAAAGACGAGAAGACCCUAUAGAGUUUAACUUUAUAAAGAGUUAUUUUUUUUUAGUAUAAAUAAAUUUAAUUUAUAAAAAGUUUGGUUGGGGUGACCUUAAGAUAAAUUAAACUCUUAAAAAAAUGAUCAUUAAUUUUUGAAUAAAAAAUUUAUUUAAAUAGAUUUAAAAUAAAUUACCUUGGGGAUAACAGCGUAA